GAUGAACGCUGGCGGCGUGCUUAACACAUGCAAGUCGAACGGAAAGGCUCCUGCUUGCAGGGGUACUCGAGUGGCGAACGGGUGAGUAACACGUGGGUGAUCUGCCCUGCACUUCGGGAUAAGCCUGGGAAACUGGGUCUAAUACCGGAUAGGACGAUGGUUUGGAUGCCAUUGUGGAAAGUUUUUCGGUGUGGGAUGAGCUCGCGGCCUAUCAGCUUGUUGGUGGGGUAAUGGCCUACCAAGGCGUCGACGGGUAGCCGGCCUGAGAGGGUGUACGGCCACAUUGGGACUGAGAUACGGCCCAGACUCCUACGGGAGGCAGCAGUGGGGAAUAUUGCACAAUGGGCGCAAGCCUGAUGCAGCGACGCCGCGUGGGGGAUGACGGCCUUCGGGUGGUAAACUCCUUUCGUCAGGGACGAAGCGAAAGUGACGGUACCUGGAUAAGAAGCACCGGCUAACUACGU
rnacentral:rRNA from 1 species